UACGGGGGGGGCAAGCGUUGUUCGGAAUUACUGGGCGUAAAGGGUCUGUAGGUGGCCAACUAAGUCAGACGUGAAAUCCCUCAGCUUAACUGGGGAACUGCGUCUGAUACUGGUUGGCUUGAGUGCAGGAGAGGAAUGCGGAAUUCCAGGUGUAGCGGUGAAAUGCGUAGAUAUCUGGAGGAACACCGGUGGCGAAGGCGGCAUUCUGGACUGCAACUGGCACUGAAAGACGAAAGCCAGGGGAGCAAACGGG
rnacentral:rRNA from 1 species